UCCGUAGGUGAACCUGCGGAGGGGUCAUUACCGAGUUAUACAACUCAUCAACCCUGUGAACAUACCUAUAACGUUGCCUCGGCGGGAACAGACGGCCCCGUAACACGGGCCGCCCCCGCCAGAGGACCCCCUAACUCUGUUUCUAUAAUGUUUCUUCUGAGUAAACAAGCAAAUAAAUUAAAACUUUCAACAACGGAUCUCUUGGCUCUGGCAUCGAUGAAGAACGCAGCGAAAUGCGAUAAGUAAUGUGAAUUGCAGAAUUCAGUGAAUCAUCGAAUCUUUGAACGCACAUUGCGCCCGCCAGUAUUCUGGCGGGCAUGCCUGUUCGAGCGUCAUUACAACCCUCAGGCCCCCGGGCCUGGCGUUGGGGAUCGGCGGAAGCCCCCUGCGGGCACAACGCCGUCCCCCAAAUACAGUGGCGGUCCCGCCGCAGCUUCCAUUGCGUAGUAGCUAACACCUCGCAACUGGAGAGCGGCGCGGCCACGCCGUAAAACACCCAACUUCUGAAUGUUGACCUCGAAUCAGGUAGGAAUACCCGCUGAACUUAAGCAUAUCAAUAAGCGGAGGA
rnacentral:rRNA from 1 species